ensembl:lncRNA
CCCGGUGAUGAGUGCAGCAGGUGACAAUGAUCAUAGUGAUAGGUAAUCAGUAACCACGCCUCCAACACAACCACACACACAGAGAAGGUGAGAUAGUGAAUUCAUGAACCGUGACAGAAUCAUCAGUGGCAAAUCCUUUACAUAUGUAAACCUACUUACAUACCGUGAGUCAGAAGCGCCAGACUGUCCUUGCAAAGAGUGACAAAUGGCCAGUGGCUUGAGUGAGGAACAGCCAGGGGUUUGAGUAAGGAAUGGCCCACGGCUUGAGUGAGCCACAAUCAGCGGCUAUAACGAGGAACGGCCGACAGAUUUGACGAAGGAGCGGCCAGGGGUUGCAGCAACCACAUGUGACGACCCUGGACUGGACUCUGCUUCGUCGACGUUCAACCCAAAUAUUCAGAUGUGUGCAGCACAUUUCACGGAGGAUGAGGACUGUUUUCUGGGAGAGUAGCCUACAAUGCCGGUGUCUGGUUCUAAAGUGGGGCAAUUCCAACUUUGCAAGGACAGUCUGGCGCUUCUGUCUCACAAUCUGCCUUUGAAGCCCAUCAGGACCGAGGACAGCAGCAAGAAUUCAGAUCUGCAGUGUUGUCACAAGACUGAAAAACAUGUGCUUCUAAUGAGCAAACAGUUGCAGUUUUCUCUCUGGUAACUGAUUAUAAAAUAUUCUAAGAUAUUAACAGUUAAUAGUUUAAAUAAACUUUCUCUUUCCUUAAUCCCUCCCUGUCUAGAUUGUACUAAUCUGAACAAUGUCUGAAACUUUGUAUAGCAAGCACUUCCUGUGUUUAUUUGCCUCUUUAUGGUGAAUCGCUUGUUGUAUUUCUCUAUAUUAAGUCACUGGAUAAAAGCAUCUGCUAAAUGAAUAAAUGUAAAUGUAAAUGUUUAUUUCAUAAACACCGG